CACGUAGGGCGCAAGCGUUGUCCGGAAUUAUUGGGCGUAAAGAGCUCGUAGGCGGUCUGUUGCGUCCGCUGUGAAAACUCGGGGCUUAACCCCGAGCCUGCAGUGGAUACGGGCAGACUAGAGGUAGGUAGGGGAGAAUGGAAUUCCCGGUGUAGCGGUGAAAUGCGCAGAUAUCGGGAGGAACACCGGUGGCGAAGGCGGUUGGCUGGGCCACAACUGACACUGAUGCGCGACAGCGUGGGGAGCAAACAGG
rnacentral:rRNA from 1 species